rnacentral:lncRNA from 1 species
AAACUCUGGUCUUUCUCAGAGUUCCUGGGGGAGGGGAAGGGAAUCAGCCCACCCAGAGAUUAAGCAAUAGUCACCAAGCCCCUUGGGCAGAUUGAGGAAACUCAGGCCUCCUAGUUCUCAGCCUUGUGACCUCCUGAUUGAAGCAGUUCCAUCUAUCUCCUAGAUAUUAGAUACGACGUCCCCAAUUGUCCCUGAGAUGCAGCAAGGGAGAGGGAGAGGGGGAGAGAGAGGGACAGAGGGAGGGAGAGAGAGAGAGAAAGCACCCUGCCACAGAGGGAAGAAAAAAAAGCACCAGGAACGCAGCAGCGCAGCUCCAGGUGUUAACACUUAGCGCAUCCUGCCCAGCCCCCUCCAGCUUGAGGCCGGCCGCCGGGGAGCCGGACACAGCAAUUAGGCCCUUCCCGGGCUGGGCGCCUUUGUCCCCUUGCUAACAUCAUUAGUGUCUGACUUCCUGUGCACAACGGGGGCCUCCCGGGGGGCAAUCGCCGGCUGACCGGGGCAGGGCAUUAGACUUCCUUUGUCAAAGACCCUCAAAUGUUAACAAGCUUGUGAACAAGCUUCUCCUCCGCCCCCCACCUCAGCCACUCCUCCGGCCCACCAGGCCCACCAAACACCCUGGGACACUUCUCUGCCUUCUCGAUUCUCCCAACUUGGGGGAAUCUGAAUUCCUUGAGAGCAAUAUCAAGUCUCCCUGUCGAUUUCCUAGAGCCAGUCCCCAUGCCAGGCACAUUUGCUGAGUACCUGCUGGUUACCACCAUCCUAUCACUUGUCCUGCAUUAAUGAGACUGAAAAUGACCAAACAUGACGAUGCUCAGACAACAUGAGUACUGGGCCGUAUCACCCAGCCCAGUGCCCCUCUAGGCACAGGUACCCAGUUCAAGUGUGCUCAUGAGCUAAUGUUCUAGAUGGUUUCAAGCUGCAUGUUGGAUAAUAUCCUUAGGCUUUCAAACACUGAUCAGAUCUGAAAAUGGGGAUAGUGUGAGUUGUCAUACAGCUGCAAGCCGAACCACUAAAAACCUCUCAUUUAUUUAUUUAUUUUGCUUUUCUCAGGGCAUAUGGAGGAGUGGCCCUAGAAAAGGCAAAAAGACCAAAAAAAAAAAACCCACAAAAAAACAAAGUAGGAACUUAAAAGGCAACAACCAUUUCUGCUGCGGAGCACAUGAGCCCAUUAAGAGAGGCUCUAUCACUUUUUAGAUCACAGGUGACAACAGUACGUCUAGAGUCAAGUCAGUUUCACUGAAUCAAGUAAAAAACAAAAAACAAACUACAGUGUAGUUAAUUCUUAUUUCUUUUUUUUUUUUUCCUUUGCCGAAUGGGAAGCAACAUAUUCCCAGUGUCCAGAGGAUGGAGAGAAGAGCUGAAUUUCUACUCCUCCUCAACUGUUUCUUCCAGUCUGUGGUGUUUGCAGCCAGCACACAAAAUUAGGUUAGGUUAGGGGUUCAUUCUUAAAUAUUUGUCCAAGAAACACUAUGAAGGAUAAUCUAAAACUCCAGUUUUCCAAAAUGAAUAAUCUAUGACUUUGACUUCUGCUUCAGACAGCACAACGUACUCAAGCUUCAAAAAUUAGAUGCUGGUAACAGCAAAAAGACACUAUUACUUCCAUGGUGCUAAGUCCCUCACAAGUUUAUUUUGAGCCCUACUAGUUUCAAAGAGUAAAUCAUUUCACCACUGGUUCUGAUGGUUACCUUUGCCAAACUAAUUUUUAAGUUGGGCAAUCGGAAGGAUAUACUCAAACACUAACAAUUCCUGCAACUUUAAGUCUCCCUACUUCUUGGAUGGAAG